CCUACGGGAGGCAGCAGUGGGGAAUAUUGCACAAUGGGGGAAACCCUGAUGCAGCGACGCCGCGUGAGUGAAGAAGUAUUUCGGUAUGUAAAGCUCUAUCAGCAGGGAAGAAACCCACCCUCCGGGGUGGCUGACGGUACCUGACUAAGAAGCCCCGGCUAACUACGUGCCAGCAGCCGCGGUAAUACGUAGGGGGCAAGCGUUAUCCGGAUUUACUGGGUGAAAGGGGAGCGUAGGUGGCAAGGCAAGUCAGAUGUGAAAACCCGGGGCCCAACCCCGGGAGUGCAUUUGAAACUGUGUGGCGAGAGUGAAGGAGAGGUAAGUGGAAUUCCUAGUGGAGCGGUGAAAUGCAUAGAGAUUAGGAGGAAGACGAGUGGCGAAGGCGGCUUACUGGACUGUAACUGACACUGAGGCUCGAAAGCGUGGGGAGCAAACAGGAUUAGAUACCCCAGUAUC
rnacentral:rRNA from 1 species